rnacentral:rRNA from 1 species
GACGAACGCUGGCGGCGUGCUUAACACAUGCAAGUCGGGCGGUAAGGCCCUUUCGGGGGUACACGAGCGGCGAACGGGUGAGUAACACGUGGGUGACCUGCCCUCAGCUCUGGGAUAAGCCUGGGAAACCGGGUCUAAUACUGGAUAUGACUCCAUGACGCAUGUUGUGGGGUGGAAAGCCUUGUGCGGCUGAGGAUGGGCCCGCGGCCUAUCAGCUUGUUGGUGGGGUGAUGGCCUACCAAGGCGACGACGGGUAGCCGGCCUGAGAGGGCGACCGGCCACACUGGGACUGAGACACGGCCCAGACUCCUACGGGAGGCAGCAGGUGGGGAAUCUUGCGCAAUGGGCGAAAGCCUGACGCAGCGACGCCGCGUGAGGGA